GCCAGGGGAGUCGCCCUCCCUGAGGAGCCUGGCCCUUCCUCUCCAGCCCCAUUGCCCAGACUCCGCCCGCAGUCAUCUCUGGCUGGGGUGAGAUCUCCUCGCCGGCCUGUCUCCCGACACUCUCCACUCCGACCCCACCACCGCCCGGCUCCUGGAGCUGUUUUGACGAGUGGAACCUGACCCUGACACUUCCUGACUCGACACCUUUCCACCGGCCCCCCUCCCUGGAGGGCAAGGGCACCCCCUGGACAGGGUGUCCUCUGCUUCGGGGUCACGAAACAUGGAUGCCAGGCUGGCCGCUCAGAGCCUUUCUCAUGACACGCUUCCUGACAACAGAAGCUGUUGAAACCAAAACCCAUAGAACCACGUGCUGUACUAGCCGCAAACUGACUGAAGCCCGGCGUGAGCAGCGGGCCAGAGGCCCCACCAACCCUGACCCCCUCACCCCAGCCUCGGGUCUUCCCAGCACGUGUGCAAACCCCAUACUCCGUAGUGACCCCACCAACUGAUAGCACAGAAGCCUGAGGAAUACAAACGGACAAGUGAGGAUGGGUUUUUGCUGUUUUAUACUGAGGCUUUGAAGCUUUUUAAAGAAUUAAUGAAAGAGAGACAUCUGAGUGGCUCAGUCAGUGAAGAGUGUGCCUUCGCCUUAGGUCAUGAUCUCGGGGUCCUGGGAUCGAGCCCUGCAUCGGGGUCCCUGCUGAGCAGGGAGCCUGCUUCUCCUUCUGCCUCCCCUUCUGUU
rnacentral:lncRNA from 1 species